rnacentral:lncRNA from 1 species
UUUCCACCUUGAAUAACUUUUUCUAUGGACUUCAAAUGAGAAGCGUUCUUUAAUGAAAGUUGUAGCUCUUUCAAACCUAUUCAAUUUAGUCACAAAUUUGACCUCAAUUGGAUUUUGCAUGAAGGAGUUAUGCAUUUUAGAAGUUGAGGAAUAUCACUUGUUCAAUGGACUUGGGCCAAAAUGACCUAUAAUGUUUCUUCUUGGCACAUGCAUUUUCAAGUUGAAUUUGAACUUCCUCCAAACAUAAAAG